CCCAGCCGACUGCCCCUGGAAGUAACGCUGCUGGACGAGGCGGACCUCAGUGGGGACGAGCUGGACGUGCUCGGCCUGUCGCCGGCUGCAGGCAAGAGACCUGGGAGUCUACCGUCAGGCGACAUUUCGGUCAUAGAAUUGUGAACAUCCGUCGUAAUCUCACGCGCCAUGUGUGGAUGCCCUGCGACGGCCAGCUGCUGUGGCGCC